AUUGAACGCUGGCGGCAUGCCUUACACAUGCAAGUCGAACGGUAACGGGCCUUCGGGUGCCGACGAGUGGCGAACGGGUGAGUAAUGUAUCGGAACGUACCUUUCAGUGGGGGAUAACGUAGCGAAAGUUACGCUAAUACCGCAUAUUCUGUGUGCAGGAAAGCAGGGGAUCGCAAGACCUUGCGCUGAUUGAGCGGCCGAUAUCAGAUUAGCUAGUCGGUGAGGUAAAGGCUCACCAAGGCGACGAUCUGUAGCGGGUCUGAGAGGAUGAUCCGCCACACUGGAACUGAGGCACGGUCCAGACUCCUACGGGAGGCAGCAGUGGGGAAUUUUGGACAAUGGGGGCAACCCUGAUCCAGCCAUGCCGCGUGAGUGAAGAAGGCCUUCGGGUUGUAAAGCUCUUUCGGCCGGGAAGAAAUCGUAUCAGCUAAUACCUGAUGCGGAUGACGGUACCGGCAUAAGAAGCACCGGCUAACUACGUGCCAGCCGCCGCAGUAAGAC
rnacentral:rRNA from 1 species